UUACGGCCAUACAGCGUUGAAACACCUAUUACCACAUGAUCACCGAAGUUAAGCAACGUCGAGCCUGGUCAAUAUCUAGAUGGGUGACCACUUGGGAAUAUCUGGUGCUGUU